AACGAACGCUGGCGGCAUGCCUAACACAUGCAAGUCGAACGAGACCUUCGGGUCUAGUGGCGCACGGGUGCGUCACGCGUGGGAACCUGCCCUUAGGUUCGGACUAACUCCCCGAAAGGGGUGCUAAUACCGGAUAAUGUCUUCGGACCAAAGAUUUAUCGCCUUUGGAUGGGCCCGCGUUGGAUUAGCUAGUUGGUAGGGUAAAAGCCUACCAAGGCGACGAUCCAUAGCUGGUCUGAGAGGAUGAUCAGCCACACUGGGACUGAGACACGGCCCAGACUCCUACGGGAGGCAGCAGUGGGGAAUAUUGGACAAUGGGCGAAAGCCUGAUCCAGCAAUGCCGCGUGAGUGAUGAAGGCCUUAGGGUUGUAAAGCUCUUUUACCCGGGAUGAUAAUGACAGUACCGGGAGAAUAAGCUCCGGCUAACUCCGUG
rnacentral:rRNA from 1 species